UACGGAAGGCAGCAGUGGGGAAUAUUGCACAAUGGGCGAAAGCCUGAUGCAGCUAUGCCGCGUGUAUGAAGAAGGCCUUAGGGUUGUAAAGUACUUUCAUCGGGGAGGAAAAAACAAAACUAAUAAUUUUAUUUCUUGACGUUACCCGAAAAAGAAGCACCGGCUAACUCCGUGCCAGCAGCCGCGGUAAUACGGAGGGUGCUAGCGUUAAUCAGAAUUACUGGGCGUAAAGAGCACGUAGGUGGUUUUUUAAGUCAGAUGUGAAAUCCCUGGGCUUAACCUAGGAACUGCAUUUUGAAACUGAAAUACUAGAGUAUCGUAGAGGGAGGUAGAAUUCUAGGUGUAGCGGUGAAAUGCGUAGAUAUCUGGAGGAAUACCUGUGGCGAAAGCGGCCUCCUAAACGAAUACUGACACUGAGGUGCGAAAGCGUGGGGAGCAAACAGGGAUUUAGAUACC
rnacentral:rRNA from 1 species